UUUAAAGUGAUACAACACAAACAUAAACAAAUAGUUUUUGUUUAUUUUUUUAUUUACAGGUACUUCAUUCUAUCAUGUAUUUAUCCAUAUAUGACAUUUUACCUAAUAUGUUUAGAUACUGGAAAUAUAAGGCCAAUUUUGGUGCAACCCCAGCGCUCUACGAUACC